rfam:Streptomyces sp. Tu 6176 genomic scaffold scaffold00001, whole genome shotgun sequence.
CGGACCGUGUAGUCCCAGAUGGCGUCCGGGUCCAGCAGUGCCUGCUCGCCGAAGUAGGCGCCGUCGGCGAGCACGCCGAGGACCUGGUCGUCGCCGUACGGGCCGGUGCCGACCUUCUCGGCCCUGCCGUGCGCGAGCAGAUAGACGUCCUCGGACUGGUUGCCGAAGGAGGCGAUCACCUGGCCGGCGGCGAUCUCCCGCUGCCGGCAGUGCUGGGCCAGCUCGGAGAGCACGUCGGUGUCCUCGUACCCCCGCAGGGCGGGCAGUUCGCCGAGUUCGGCGGGGAUCACCUCGACGCGGUCGCCCGUCUGCACGAAGGUGAUCCGUCCGUCGCCGACGGCGUACGUGAGCCGCCGGUUCACCCGGUACGUGCCGCCCUGCACAUCCACCCACGGCAGCAUGCGCAGGAGCCAGCGCGAGCUGAUCUCCUGCAUCUGGGGUACGGACUUGGUGGUGGUGGCCAGGUUCCGCGCGGCCGCGGUGCCGAGGCUCUGCUGCGGCCGGUCCU